rnacentral:rRNA from 1 species
CAAUAGCGUAUAUUAAAGUUGUUGUAGUUAAAAAGCUCGUAGUUGGAUUUCUGGUAGGAGUGACCGUGCCAGACUUGAUUGUCUGUGUAUUGUGUUGUCUCCAGCCAUCCUUGUGGAGAACUUUUCUUGCAUUAAUUUGUAGGGAUUGGGACCCGCAUCGUUUACUGUGAAAAAAUUAGAGUGUUUAAAGCAGGCAAUCGCUUGAAUACAUUAGCAUGGAAUAAUAAGAUAGGACUUUGGUACUAUUUUGUUGGUUUGCAUACCAAAUUAAUGAUCAACAGGAACAGUUUGAGGAUAUUCGUAUGAACAUGUCAGAGGUGAAAUUCUUGGAUUUUGAUCAGACGAACUACUGCGAAAGCAUUUAUCAAGGAUGUUUUCAUUAA